ensembl:lncRNA
GAUGAAUAUCAAUUUUCUCUUACCUCCAUAAUUCAUUCGCGUUAUAAUGAAAGUUGACAUUUUAAACCAGGUGGAUAAGCUUCUGUUCAACUCUCUUAACAAGAGUACUGUUGGAGUCCGCGUGUUUCCUAAACAAAGGAAUGAACACACAAGACAACACAGGACAAGACAAACAUGGCGGCCGCCUCGAAUGGUUCUUCCAAGAAAGGUACACACUUUGUGGUCGUCUCUGUUGCAACUGAGCAAAGAGCCAGGAUUGGGACUAUUAGCUUUCACGGGGCCCAGUGUUCAGCACCUGUCAUGGCAGUCAGGGGAUCCUCAAUAUGUGUUGAAUGCUGGGCCUGGAGGAAAAAUAUCAGAAUUGUUUUAGACUGUGAUUUUUUCCAUGUGUACAACGUUAGAAUUUGUUUUCUCAAGUACUAAAUAUCUGCUCACAUGACAAUACGAAAUAUGAGUUCUCUUGUAUGGAGGAAAGUACUGAAGUUCAGAAAAAAAUGAUUUGUCUCACAUUGCACAGGUAAUAAAUUAGAACGCAAUUGGAGUCUAGAUCUUCAUAUUUUAAGUUCUGUGUCUUCACGUUUUGAGUUGAGGAUUUCUCUAGCACAGUCUCCUCAAUUUCCUUUGGCUUCCUGGUUAAGAUUACAUUGAAAAGUGAAAUACAACUUACUUUCAUGAAUUUAAGAAUGCUGCAAUAAAAAUGAAUGUGUGUGUGCUUUCGUUUUAGAAUCACACUAAACAUACAUACAUAAAUAUAUAAAUUUGUAGAAGGAUUACACUAAACUGCUAUUUAUCACAUCAAAUUUAACAACCUCCUUAUAAACGCACAUACUGAAAUGGCCUGGUUACCUGAAACUCUGUGGGUUUCUGCCUAUAGCCAUCCACAUCCCUGUGUGGCUAGCUAUAUCGUGUGCAGACAGGAGGAAGUCUGACUUUAAGAUGGUAUCUUGUAUGUGAGAAAAUGUUAAUGGAAACGCUUAUACACAAACCAUCUGUCAAUGCUAUUCAUAUAUGGGGGAAAAAAAAGACUAAUUGUGCCCUUUGAAGUAAUACUAUGAUAAUGUGGUUUACUAGGAUACAAGUCAGGAGCUCUGAUUAUAUGAUGUUCCUAUAAUUUGUAUGUCUCAUUGCCAGUAUUAUUUUUCUGUUUGCAGUUUAUUAUUUUUGAAAUCAUUAUAUUGCCUUUUAAAUUGUUAAUACUAGCUGUAAAUGGCACAAUUGCUGACAUGAAAGACAGGAUAGGGUAUAAAUCUUUUUUCCCUUACCGCUCCUCAUUGACCUAAAUACUUCUACUCCUACUCCUCACCGCCAUUAUUUCAGCCUUUUAAUUUGGAUUCCUUGAUGCUACAACAGAUUUGUAUGUCAGUAUCUCAAUUUUUUAAACAUAAAGUAUGUGCAUUUGUCUGCUCUUUCUUACCCAGGAACAGUAAGAUAAUAUUAAAGAGGGCUAAUGAAAAAGAAAUGACCCCUAUGUACUUUGGGAAAAUAAGAAGGAACCAAAAUCCAAGACUUCGCAAAGGAAACAAUUCAACUUCAAAGGUUGUACAAAGUAAAUGAAGCACCAACUGUGCGUUUAAAUGGAUGAUGAAAGAAAUGGCUGCCAUCCACAUUUUACCCACAGGAGCUUUUGGUUUUCAUCCAGACACAACAAAUACAAUAAAAGAUACAAAGAGACUACAUGGAAAAGAUAAAUUUAUUAUAUAAAAUAUAUAAUAUAUACAUCUUUAACUAUAAAGAUAGAAUUGUAAGUACUUAAAUAAGUGAUACAGGGGCAGGGUGCAGUGGCUCAUGCCUGUAAUCCCAGCACGUUGGGAGGCUGAGGUGGGCAGAUUGCCUGAACUCAGGAGUUCCAGACCAGUCUGGCCAACAUGAUGAAACCCCAUCCCUACUAAAAUACUCAAAAUUACCCAGGCUUGGCAGCAUGGCCUGUAAUCCCAGCUACUUGGGAGGCUGAGACAGGAGAACCCCUUGAAUCCGGGAGGUGGACAUUGCAGCAAGCCGAGAUCGCACCAUAGCACUUUAGCCAGUGUGACAGAGCAAGACUCCAUCUCCAAAAAAACAAACAAAAAAAGAAGUGAUACAGGUAUGAUGUAUAAGAGUUUAAGGGAGCAAUCAAUUUAAUUUGGAAAGACAUAUAAUUCUGAUUAAAUCUUAAAGGUAUUUUGUAUCCUACACAUGUCUCAUAGGGACACUCUCCAAGGUCGAAACAAUUUCACAUCAGAACUUCUAAAUUCUUUUCUUUUCUUUUUUUUUUUCCUGUGGACAAGAAAAAAUUUCAGGCCUUGCUUUAUUCUCAUGUAAUCAUCUCUGGUGAAUACACUGAGCAUUUUCUUCUCUGAAUUACAUUGGGUGACAUCACACAUGAAUACUGACAUGAGAAAUUUGAGCCAGAGCUUCCCUUUACCCAUGAAGGUAGGUGAGCAUCACCUUUGGGGGUAGGGAAGGUCUCCUGCCAUUGGCUGGUCACUUGUUUGCUUGUAAAAAACACAAGUCAGCUUUCCCAACUGUGUGAACACGAACAGAUUUGCUGCCUUCAGCUUUGAGUAAUAUAAUUUUCAGUACCUUAGGCCUUGCCUUUCAGAGCUUGUUGAUAACCCCUGGACUCUUCCUCAUCUAGGGUAACAUCUAGGCCUUGUGACCCCCUUGUAGGAAAUGUUGAGUGAAAGAAAAUUCAAUGAAUACCCAAUAAAAUAUGAACUCUAUUUUCUCAUUCUAUGUAGUUCUGGAAACGCAUAUUUUUAUUGGGUUUAUAAGUUAAGAAGUGUAUUUAGAAUGGUCCUUGAACUGAAGCGAACUCACAUUCAGGUAAAGGUAGUAUUGUUACAAUUACAAUCUUGUUAUCAUCAUGCUUGUGUUGGAGAUCCUACACAAGAACAAUUUGGUUUGUGUAAACAUGGUAUAUUUCUUGGCCAAUAAAAUUAAAUUAAA